rnacentral:rRNA from 1 species
UACGAAGGGGGCUAGCGUUGCUCGGAAUCACUGGGCGUAAAGCGCACGUAGGCGGAUUGUUAAGUCGGGGGUGAAAUCCUGGAGCUCAACUCCAGAACUGCCUUCGAUACUGGCGAUCUCGAGUCCGGGAGAGGUGAGUGGAACUGCGAGUGUAGAGGUGAAAUUCGUAGAUAUUCGCAAGAACACCAGUGGCGAAGGCGGCUCACUGGCCCGGUACUGACGCUGAGGUGCGAAAGCGUGGGGAGCAAACAGGG